rnacentral:rRNA from 1 species
CGCGUAGGCGGUUUGGUAAGUCAGAUGUGAAAUACUGUGGCUCAACCACAGAACGGCAUCUGAAACUGUAUUUCUUGAGUACUGGAGAGGAAAGCGGAAUUCCUAGUGUAGCGGUGAAAUGCGUAGAUAUUAGGAGGAACACCGGUGGCGAAGGCGGCUUUCUGGACAGUAACUGACGCUGAGACGCGAAAGCGUGGGGAGCAAACAGGAUUAGAUACCCUGGUAGUCC